UAAUUAUCAAACAGCCCAAUAAAAUGAAUAUAAUACUUAGAUAACUACUAAGUUGCAAAAACUUGUCAAACAUCGAGUUUCCACCGAACUUGUACGAAACCAUCUAAUGAUGGCGGCACUUUCGAGCAUCUGAGUUUUGAGACAGACCAAUCAGGUUCUAGCGCGAGACAAUGCUGACCAAUCCGCUGCGAGGAUUUGUUCGCGGCUUGUAGUUCACUGCUAAUGUCGGUAGAAGAAAAAUAGUUGCCCAAGACGUAAGCUACUAUGGAAAAUGGAAGCUCAGUUCUGGACAGUCCUGAGGACUUGGAUUGUUCCUCAGAUUCUGGUAGCAUCUUCGUUCCUCAGAAGCGACGUAAACAAGCAGUGGCUGGGUCCAAG